CUGGUUGAUCCUGCCAGACCCGACUGCUAUCGGAUUGGGACUAAGCCAUGCGAGUCAACUCCGCAAGGGGUGGCGCACGGCUCAGUAACACGUAGUCAACCUACCCUGGGGACGGGGAUAACCUCGGGAAACUGAGGCUAAACCCCGAUGGGCCAUGGCUCCUGGAAUGGGCUAUGGCUGAAAUCUUCAUGGCCCCAGGAUGGGACUGCGGCCGAUCAGGUUGUUGGUGGGGUAAUGGCCCACCAAGCCUAUAACCGGUGCGGGCUCUGAGAGGAGGAGCCCGGAGAUGGGCACUGAGACAAGGGCCCAGGUCCUAUGGGGCGCAGCAGGCGCGAAACCUCCGCAAUGGGCGAAAGCCCGACGGGGUCAGUCCGAGUGGUUCCCGCUGAGGGAACCUUUUGCCAGCUGUAAACAGGCUGGCGAAUAAGGGGUGGGCAAGUUUGGUGUCAGCCGCCGCGGUAAUACCAGCACCCCGAGUGGUCGGGACGAUUAUUGGGCCUAAAGCAUCCGUAGCCGGCCCAGUAAGUCCUCCGUUAAAUCCAACGGCUCAACCGUUGGGCUGCGGGGGAUACUGCUGGGCUAGGGGACGGGAGAGGCGAGGGGUAUUCCCGGGGUAGGGGUAAAAUCCACUGAUCCCGGGAGGACCACCAGUGGCGAAGGCGCCUCGCUAGAACGUGCCCGACGGUGAGGGAUGAAAGCUGGGGGAGCGAACCGGAUUAGAUACCCGGGUAGUCCCAGCCGUAAACGAUGUAGGCUCGGUGUUGGGCUGCCUCAGUGGCAGCCCAGUGCCGCAGGGAAGCCGUUAAGCCUACCGCCUGGGGAGUACGGCCGCAAGGCUGAAACUUAAAGGAAUUGGCGGGGGAGCACCAC
rnacentral:rRNA from 1 species